CAGUCCUUCAGGUGACAGGCCCUAUAACACGGCUAUUACAGACGAACCCCCUGAACCACAAAAUGUUAGAUCCGUUUAUCUAGAACGUGUAUAUCAGCAACAGCGUGACUUAGCAAAUUUUAAUAGUACCAUGUACACGGAACACUUC